rnacentral:rRNA from 1 species
AGUGAACGCUGGCGGUAGGCCUAACACAUGCAAGUCGAACGGCAGCACAGUAAGAGCUUGCUCUUACGGGUGGCGAGUGGCGGACGGGUGAGGAAUACAUCGGAAUCUACUUUUUCGUGGGGGAUAACGUAGGGAAACUUACGCUAAUACCGCAUACGACCUACGGGUGAAAGCAGGGGAUCUUCGGACCUUGCGCGAUUGAAUGAGCCGAGGUCGGAUUAGCUAGUUGGCGGGGUAAAGGCCCACCAAGGCGACGAUGCGUAGCUGGUCUGAGAGGAUGAUCAGCCACACUGGAACUGAGACACGGUCCAGACUCCUACGGGAGGCAGCAGUGGGGAAUAUUGGACAAUGGGCGCAAGCCUGAUCCAGCCAUGCCGCGUGAGUGAAGAAGGCCUUCGGGUCGUAAAGCCCUGUUGUUGGGAAAGAAAAGCAGCAGGUGAAUACCCGGCUGUUCUGACGGUACCCAAAGAAUAAGCACCGGCUAACUACGUG